rnacentral:rRNA from 1 species
AACGAACGCUGGCGGCAUGCUUAACACAUGCAAGUCGAACGAGACUUCGGGUCUAGUGGCGCACGGGUGCGUAACGCGUGGGAAUCUGCCCUUAGGUACGGAAUAACUCAGAGAAAUUUGUGCUAAUACCGUAUGAUGUCGAAAGACCAAAGAUUUAUCGCCUAAGGAUGAGCCCGCGUAAGAUUAGCUUGUUGGUGAGGUAAAAGCUCACCAAGGCGACGAUCUUUAGCUGGUCUGAGAGGAUGAUCAGCCACACUGGGACUGAGACACGGCCCAGACUCUACGGGAGGCAGCAGUGGGGAAUAUUGGACAAUGGGCGAAAGCCUGAUCCAGCAAUGCCGCGUGAGUGAUGAAGGCCUUAGGGUUGUAAAGCUCUUUUACCAGGGAUGAUAAUGACAGUACCUGGAGAAUAAGCUCCGGCUAACUUCGUGC